UACGUAGGGUGCGAGCGUUUAAUCGGAAUUACUGGGCGUAAAGCGUGCGCAGGCGGUUCUGAAAGUCAGCUGUGAAAGCCCCGGGCUUAACCUGGGAACUGCGGUUGAAACUACAGGACUAGAAUCUGGCAGAGGGGGGUGGAAUUCCACGUGUAGCAGUGAAAUGCGUAGAGAUGUGGAGGAACACCGAUGGCGAAGGCAGCCCCCUGGGCUGAGAUUGACGCUCAGGCACGGAAAGCGUGGGGAGCAAACAGG
rnacentral:rRNA from 1 species